ensembl:lncRNA
ACGACGUAGGAGAGGCGUGCUUCUCCCGAAUUUACUAUUGCGCUUCCUCAAUGGGGGGAGCGCUGUUCAGUAGCUGUUACACUGGAGUAACUGGGAUUGGAACGUUAGCUGGUGACACUCUGGGAAUUUUUGGUGACAUGUUAGAUAAUUCCUGGUGGGUGACGAAGUUUUUUGGAGGUAGGUUAGUGGAGCAGAGCGGGGACUACGUCGGGACCGUUGUGGGAGAGUUGGGGAGCCAGACCAGCGCUGUGGGAAGUGGGUUUGGAAAACUAGCAUGGAAAAGUGGGAAUGGGGUAGGAUAUUGUUUUAAAGUUGUAUGGAGGGUUUUUAAAGGGGUGUUUGAUAUUAUAUUUGCCAUACUCGGAGAUACUUUCGAACGAGACAGAAAUCAAGAGACACUGGACAUCAUUCCCGCUGUGCUUCCGGAGCAAACGGACUAAAGACGUGUUCAGUUUUCAAAGGGUUGCAAAGAUAAUUUACUGUGUCAUAAAGGAAGAAUUCGGGCUGCGUUCACACUCAUCUGGGUUUGGUUUUGUUUUGGUUUUGGUCAUGGUUUGAUCUUCUUCUUAUCCUGGUUAAUCCUGGUCUAGUCCUGGUUUAGUUCCGGGUUUAUUUGUAAAAGCCAAAGUUAAAUCUGUCAACUGGACAAAACGUCUUCAGUCCUACAGCGUUUCGUCCAGUGAGAUUUAACUUUAGCUUUUUACUAUGGAUCAGACCUGACUGUGUGUGUGUGUGUGUGUGUGUGUGUGUGUGUGUGUGUGUGUAGGGGGUGUGUUUGUUUGUGUGUGGGGUGUGUGUGUGUGUGCUCGUGUGUGUGUUAUAGGGACCAAAAUCUGCACACACAUUUAUUUGGGGAACAAAAACCACAUAAAUCCUUUAUUAUUAGAUCAACAACAUGGUUUAAAGUUCAGACAUAAGUUAAAAUAGGUUAAGGUUAAAGUUUAGGUUAAGUUUAGGCAAUAGUAACCAUGGUAACGAAGGGCCCAUAUUACACUAUUUUCUGAUCUAUGUUAUAUCGUUUCCUCAUCAAAAACAUACCCAGACUUGGUUUUGUUUCAUUCACACAUGUUGUUUAAUUUAAGCUGAGUUCUUCUCUCAGACAGAAAACACUCUGUCCCACCUUGUGAUGUCAUCAUGUGGCAAUACAGGAAGUGCUCCACUGUGUUUUUAAACUCCACACACCUUCAUUUCUAGAAUCAUUUGAAUCAUUGCAGCUCUGGAAUGGACAAUCUCUACUGAACUAAAGGUAAAAGGAGCUGUUAACAUGAAAACUACCACUUGAUGACAUCACAAAGUGGAACAGAGCAUUUUUAGCUUUGGAGAUGUAGACAGAUUAAUAAAGUGUUACUCAAAUAUGUGUGAAUGAAACAAAAGCACAACUCCAGAUCUGUUUUUGAGGAGGGAGCAACAUUCUAUAACAAUUUUGCAUAAUAUAAAACUUUUAAGGUUAGAAUUUGUGUCCAGGAAAUAAAUGUAUAAGUCGAUGCAAUGUGCCUAAGAAAUGGAAACCCAAUGUGUGUGUAGGUGUGUGUGAAAGUGUGAACGCAGCCUUAUUUCACUUCAAAUGAGGAGACAUAAACAGAACCUGCUUAGCUAAACACACUGUGAUUCCUGUGAAAUUUGCUCCUAGUGUUAAAACUUUAAGCAGGCUGCAUACGUGAACUUUUAUUUGUUUUGCUGCAAGGAUUGGGACAGCAAAUGAACUGAUCAAAAUGACUCUGGAACAGCACUUCCUCGAUGAAUGUCUUAAUAGAUUCUUGUUUACAAACUGUUCUUCGUGUUGCCUUUUGCAUUUGGAUAAAGAACUGAACGAAUCAUCAG